AGACGGAGACCCCAAGCGUUGUUCGGAAUUACUGGGCUUAAAGCGCGUGUAGGCGGAGCGGUAAGUAUCGUGUGAAAGCCCCGGGCUCAACCCGGGAAUUGCUUGGUAUACUGUCGCUCUUGAGGCAGGUAGGGGUUACUGGAACCUUAGGUGGAGCGGUGAAAUGCGUAGAUAUCUAAGGGAACGCCUGUGGCGAAGGCGGGUAACUGGGCCUGACCUGACGCUGAGACGCGAAAGCGUAGGGGGCGAACGGGAUUAGAUACCCCGGUAGUCUACGCCGUAAACGAUGCGCACUAGGUUCGAGAGGUUCUGACACCAUUCGUGCCGAAACAAAAGCGAUAAGUGCGCCGCCUGGGGAGUACGGCCGCAAGGUUAAA
rnacentral:rRNA from 1 species